AUGUAACCCUGCCCAGAAUUUUUGUGGCUGUCCAAUCACACUCUUUCCAAAAGAGCUCAAUGAGAAGUCUUUGCAAGCAGGAGCUCUGCACAAUUGCUGCCUCUUGAGUUUAGCUCCACUGAGCUAACCAAACCAGGAAGUAACAGAACUUUAAAGCCAGAGGGUGUAACCAGGUUGAUUUAUAAAAGUGUAAAAACCUGCAAUUUUUGCACAAAAAAAAAGAGGACACAGUAUUCACAC